rnacentral:rRNA from 1 species
AGUGAACGCUGGCGGUAGGCCUAACACAUGCAAGUCGAACGGCAGCACAGUAAGAGCUUGCUCUUACGGGUGGCGAGUGGCGGACGGGUGAGGAAUACAUCGGAAUCUACUUUUUCGUGGGGGAUAACGUAGGGAAACUUACGCUAAUACCGCAUACGACCUACGGGUGAAAGCAGGGGAUCUUCGGACCUUGCGCGAUUGAAUGAGCCGAUGUCGGAUUAGCUAGUUGGCGGGGUAAAGGCACACCAAGGCGACGAUCCGUAGCUGGUCUGAGAGGAUGAUCAGCCACACUGGAACUGAGACACGGUCCAGACUCCUACGGGAGGCAGCAGUGGGGAAUAUUGGACAAUGGGCGCAAGCCUGAUCCAGCCAUACCGCGUGGGUGAAGAAGGCCUUCGGGUUGUAAAGCCCUUUUGUUGGGAAAGAAAAGCAGCAGGUUAAUACCCCGCUGUUCUGACGGUACCCAAAGAAUAAGCAUCGGCUAACUUCGUG